rnacentral:rRNA from 1 species
UACGGAGGAUGCGAGUGUUAUCCGGAUUCAUUGGGUUUAAAGGGUGCGUAGGCGGAAUAUUAAGUCAGCGAUGAAAUCCUGCAGCUUAACUGUAGAACUGUCAUUGAUACUGGUAUUCUUGAAUGCAGUUGAGGUAGGCGGAAUGUGUAAUGUAGCGGUGAAAUGCUUAGAUAUUACACAGAACACCGAUUGCGAAGGCAGCUUACUAAACUGUGAUUGACGCUGAGGCACGAAAGCGUGGGGAG